AAAACAAAGACGAACGCUGGCGGCGUGCCUAAUACAUGCAAGUCGAACGGUCUUUUCUACGGAAGCUUGCUUCCACUGGGAAGAUAGUGGCGGACAGGUGAGUAACACGUGGGUAACCUGCCCAUAAGAGGGGGAUAACAUCCGGAAACGGGUGCUAAUACCGCAUAGUUUUCUUGAUCGCAUGAUUGAGAAAGGAAAGACGGCCUUUGUGCUGUCGCUUAUGGAUGGACCCGCGGCGUAUUAGUUAGUUGGUGAGGUAAUGGCUCACCAAGACGAUGAUACGUAGCCGACCUGAGAGGGUGAUCGGCCACAUUGGGACUGAGACACGGCCCAAACUCCUACGGGAGGCAGCAGUAGGGAAUCUUCCGCAAUGGACGAAAGUCUGACGGAGCAACGCCGCGUGAGUGAAGAAGGUUUUCGGAUCGUAAAACUCUGUUGUCAGAGAAGAACAAGUCGGAAAGUAACUGUUCCGGCCUUGACGGUAUCUGACCAGAAAGCCACGGCUAACUACGUGC
rnacentral:rRNA from 1 species